UACAGAGGGUGCGAGCGUUAAUCGGAAUUACUGGGCGUAAAGCGUGCGUAGACGGUUAUUUAAGUCGGAUGUGAAAGCCCCGGGCUCAACCUGGGAAUUGCAUUCGAGACUGAAUAGCUAGGGUGCGGUAGAGGGAAGCGGAAUUUCCGGUGUAGCGGCGAAAUGCGUAGAUAUCGGAAGGAACAUCAGUGGCGAAAGCGGCUUCCUGGACCAGCACCGACGUUCAGGCACGAAAGCGUGGGGAGCAAACAGG
rnacentral:rRNA from 1 species